CCGGACGGGGGCACGAACCCGUGUCCCCUUCAUCGGCAGGCAGACUCUCAACCACUGCGCCACCAGGGAAGCCCAGUCAUUAAAUAUUUGUUGAGCAUUGGCUUGAUACUAGAUUCUGGAGCUAAAGAGAAGAAAAAGCCAUUUCCCUGUACUUGAGAUGCUUUUGUUUUCCUGGGGCAAUAGACGCAUAAACAGGUAUUUAAAAUGCGCUGUGGUCAAUGCUUAAUAGAGAAAGGAGCUGGAUCAGGUUGGGAACAGGGAAAGACGGCACUUGAAGAAGAAACGUGGAAAGGUGAGGAUUUGAAGAAGGGCAUGUUUGAAGACUGUUUCCAUGUGGCUGGAGUUCUGGGGAACAGGGGAUGAUGGAGGCCUUGUCAUAAACACUUGACAUUAAAAAAAAAAAUUAUUGUGGUGGCAGCAAUGAGGGAUAUAUGCAAUCAGGAGAAACCAGACACCAGAAUACCACCUAGAGCAUUGCAGUAGUUCAAGGCAGAGACGAUAAAGGUAUAAAUGAAGGUGGCACAGCAUCUUGGAAAGACUUUGAGAAGCAGCAAAAAGGAGGGAUGACCCUGAGAAACAUAGACUGCAAGGGGCAGCCAGAGGGAGGGGAGCCUGCCACGGAGACAAAACAGAAAUGGUCAGAGAGGCAGAAGGAAAAGCAAACUGCUGUCUUAGAAUCCAAAGGGGAAGAAAGUGCUGAGGGGUUGAAAGCAGUUCCAAAGAGAGGUUAGAAAGUGGUUUUAAAAUAGCUUAAAAAAAUCAUGAAGUCUUAAAAAUGGGCCUUUGGUGACCAAUGUGAAGGCAAGAGCAAGGAGAAAGAUCACCUCGUUUUGAGCAGCUCACACAUCGCUAUAGCAUCAGUUAAUACGAGACAGUGUUGAGUGUGCUAAAGUAAUGUGAAGAAUUAGAUUAGAUUGGAUUCUAGAAUGGUUUGAUAUCAUUGCUUAAGCUUUGUGUAUGUUAUAUAGUUUGGAGGAUACAAUAAUAAUAGUUAACAUCUGUUAUGUGUCAGGCCCUGUUCUUAGUUCUUUACGUAUGUCAUUUCAGUUAAUCCUCAAUUACUGUAUGAUGUAGGUCCUACUAUACCCACAUUUUAAAUAAGAAGCCUUGUUAUGUGCCUUGUAUGAGAACAAGUACCCCAUUUUACUUUACUUUUUGUUGUCUUUCUUGACUUUACUCUUAGGCCUCUCUGGCAGAAAUACUUGUGGAAAGUGUGUUGUUGAUUGUAGAAAAAACUCCCAUCUAGACUGCAGGCCAGUGAUGAACCAUGGUUGAGAAGCAUGCGAAUGAGUCCAGCCAAACGAGCUGAGCUGGUUAUUAGGAGAUGUAAAAGCGUGCCGAGUUGAAAAAUCCCCAUGACUUUGGUUGAAUCCUCUUCCCUCCAAAAGAAGAGAAAGGGUGGAGCAGAGCAGGUGCUGCACUUCGAGAAGAGAUAUUUUUUGAAGCUAUGCUAUUAGAAGUAUGCAAGUGUAGAAUUGUUUCCAUCUCCCUAAUGAAUUGGACCUUCCUCAAUAGAAAUUUCUCUGGACCUUCUUCCUUUGACCCCUCGCAGCGUGAGGCUGUGGACUGCCCCCUGAGGAGCACUCUACUAAGAACUUCCAGAUCGUUCAGUGAGACUAUAGCAGAAAGGAACCGAGGUAGCAUCGAAUCAACACAACAGGAGAGGUGCAUUGAACUUGGAAGCAGCUGCAUUCCAUGAUGGGACUGUAUUUCUAUUAACCUGGACCUAGAUGAAGGAUGUGUGGUGCUUGCUGGAGGUCCCAAUGUCACUGACAACUGACAAUUAGAAAGUUACCGCCUGAGUCUUUGAUGGUCCAGCUCAAGUUGCUACUUUGGAGGUUGGGGUCAAGAAUCGACAUUAUACCUAAGAGAAACAGCCCUUCAUAAUAACAAAGAAUAGAAAGCAACAGAAAUGCCCAUCAACAGAAGAAUGUAUGGAAAAAUUACACAGCUGAGAAAAUGAAUGAACUCCAGCCCCUUGUGAAAAGCAUGGACGAACCUAAGGAAUGUGAUGCUCAGUGAACAAAAGCCUGCCACCCUUUUCAUCAAGUCCAAAUCUAACUAACACUAAGCAAUCAGUUCUUCCAUGGGGGAAAUGAAGCAUUCACAUGGGGAAGAUGAAUCCUUAAUCACGCAGAAUGAUGAUCCGUGACUCCCUAAUUCAUCCCUAAGAGAUUCUACCCUCGGCUUAGAAGUGUAGGGGGAUUUGGGACAGGACUGUACUCGGAAAAAGUGUGACGUCUCCCGCUUUCAGAGGAGGACAGAGCCGGGCAGCAGUGGCAGGUGAUGGAAAGCCUGGCCGGGCAGGCGGGGAAGCAGGCGCCAGUGUUGGGUCCCCACCUGCUGGCCACACCCCUGCUCCUCCUUAAGUCCUGCGUCCUUGUCACUGAAGUGACAGGCUCCACCUAGGUCACCUCCAAAGCCCUUGCCAUCCCAGAGGGCCUAAUUCACAAGUCGUCCGUUUCUGCAGGCUGUUUGCUGGGCACAUCAUUUGUACAGAGGAGAGGAAUUCCACAGACCGUCAUGAAGCCAGCUCAGCUCUUCAGCCCCGCUUCCUCCCGGUGGUGGAGCCUGGCUCUUGCCAAUUUGAGUAACUGGGUCACUUCCGGUUUAAACUCUGUUGCCUUGGGGUAAACCCGCAGUCAGCUCAGGACCCUCCCACUUCUCUCUUUCCCUUUCCUUCUCCCAGGAUUAAAUUGGGAUUAUGGGAGGCUUAUUUAAGGUUUUGUUACGUCCGUGACAGGGUGGAGAGCAAGAGCUGGUUGUGUCUGUUCCACGGUUGUCUUUGGCCUCCAAUGAGCUGGGACCCGCCCCCUGGUCCAGAGUGUUGCGCUCGGACCCUGCCGAUGGCGAGGCUCCUCCCGGCCCCCUCCCCGCUUGUGGUGCCCAGCACGUGGCUCCCCUUUCCUUUGGUCCUUCUGUGCAUCCCAUGCUGGGGGGCGGGUGUAGCUGGCAGACUUUGGCGGUCUCCCUCGGGAUCGUGCUCUAGCUGAGGGCCCGGGGAGCCCUCCCUCAUGCCUAGGUGCCAGACCUGAACAGAGACACCCGCUAAACUUCUCAGGGAUCUCCAUCAGGGCUUGUUUUGCUGGAAGAUGCUGCCCUCGUCUCAGGAGCUCGUCAGCAUCUGGACCCCAGCUCCACUGCUUCUGAGUCUCCUUCCCAGCCCUGACCCCACUGAACUCAUCUCGGUUGGAAAAACAGUUCUGAUGUUAUCCUGACUCUCCUCGCCCCUGAUUUAUUUAUGGCGUAAUUUAUUUAUGAUAUAAUACAUGCUGGGAGGACGAGGGAGCCACUUGGGAACAUGAAGAGCCAUCCAAGUUCAUGCUCAAGCGAACUUAGGUGAAAAGAAAGAUAAAUCCAUAUAUAGUUGAUUAAAAUAUUUAUAAAGACACAGGUUACUUAUCUCAAAACCUGAGAAAGGUCAGAAAUGACAGACGAGACAGUGGGGUGGAAUGAAUCUGGGUCACAGAUUGCGAUCCAAGGAGAAGGAGGGAGAAGAGGAGGGUGGGGACGCUUGGCAGUGUACGGGAGAGGAGGCCCAGGACCGAGGUGGCUUAGGUGCCUGUCCACAGGCUGGAGGUGGAGGUGAAGGUCAGGUGCACGGCUUGGGGGUGGGGCGGGCCCAGAAAAUACCCGUGAGCAGAACAAAGCUGACCGAGGAGGGUCAGGGGAAGAUGGAGGACGCAAGGAGGAGCAGCUGGGGGAAAGACCUGAGCAGGACGGUGCUGAGCUCGCCUUGAUUAGAUGACUGUGGAGAAACGGUUACAGCCGGAGACGUCCUGGAGACCUUGGUACGUGACAUACCGGAGAGGAGAGGCCCGGGCGUGUGCUGGAGCAGGCGUGUGUCAGGAGGCAGUGAUGGGAGGAGUGGCGAGCUGGGCUCGGUGCGAGGAGAAGGUCGGGGUGCUUCCCGUGAAAGCGUCACUGACCAGAGAACGUGGUUUACGCAGCACAAGAGAGGAGCAUGGGAUCUGGAGCCUCCCGAACUUGGAUUAAAAUCCUAGCUCUGUAGAGAAAAUGUGGUGUAUGCAUACAAUGGAAUAUUGCGGAGCCUUAAGAAGAAAGGAAAUUCUGACUCAUGCUACAACACGGAUGGAUCUUGAGGUCAUUAUGCUAAGUGAAACUAGUCAGUCACAGAAAGGAAAAUACUAGGUAUGAUUCCACUUAUAAGAGGUGUCCAGAGUACUCAAACUCAUAGGAACAGAAAGUAGACUCAUGGUUGCCAGGGACUACAGGGAGGGGGGAGGGGGAGUUAUUGUUCAAUGGAUUCAGAGUUUCAGUUUUGCAAGGUGAAAACAUUCCAGAAAUCUUUUGCACAGUAUAUGAACAGAGUUAACACUACUGGACUAUACCUUAAAAAUAGUUAAGAUGGUAAAUUUUAUGUUAUGUGUUUUUAGCACCAUCAACCAUAAAAUUUUUGAAAUCCUAGAUCUUCUGGUCUCCUAGUGGCUGUGUGACCUUGACCUUGUACAAGCCAGCUAAUUUCUUAGAGUCUCGGUUUCCUCAUCUGUAAGAUGGGCAUAGAACACCCACCUCAUAAAGACAUUCUAGGACUAAAUAAAAGCAUGUAUGUGAAGCUCCGAACGUAGCACCUAGCACAUCAAAGGUGUUCACGUUUCAUUUAAAUUAAAUUAGUUCCCCUACUAUCAAAACCUGGAUGGUUUUCUUUUAAGGACCUAGACCUACUAGGUCUAGGCCUUUAGCGGCAUAUCGUAGUGCAGCCUCCACAAUACUGAGGAUGAAAUAGUUAACAGGAAGCCCCCUGAACUCUUAUUCCUAAAGAUUUGUGAUACACUACACACCAAGUGUCCCAGCAUCCCUGUUCUCGAUCAGAGGAGGGUCCCAAAUAAAGAGGUCACUCUUCCCAUCAGAAGAAGCUGAAUACAAUCUCUUCUGACACAAACUGGGCAGAAUCCAAAUACCACUGUCCAGAACCAUGGGUUUUCAGACUUUCUGGUAGAGAACCCCUUUGCAAAGCAGCAGCCAGUAGUGGCAGGCAUUUGGGUGAGCCCACGGCAGAGAACAAAUCUCCUUAGGAAUAUCAUUACUGAGUAUUUACUGCAUAAAGUGAAAUCUGAGCGAGUCCCAUAUAGAGACAUGAGACCAACGUGCAAUAAGCUUAGGAGAACACCGAACCUGAAAACCCAAGAUGUAGAGGACUUCAGACCAGAACGUUCUCUGAGCCACCCCUGGCUAGAGAGUUUUUCUUACCCUUCAGGGAGAAGAAUCUGGGAGUUUAUGCCAAAACUCCUUUCUAUAUCAUGUACAGUUUGUUGCAUCAAGUUGUAAGUUAUCUAGAAAUACCUGCAUGGGUCUUAUGUCGUAGUGUGGGUUCAAGCAUUCUCGAUACUUCCUUCUGUCAUCUUCAUAAAGUCCUGGGUCCCCGACAGCUGCCAGCUGUUAUCACAGCAAGAUACCUGCACAGGGUGGACCCCUUCUGACUCUUGCAGUUAAAAUCCUGGUGCCUGGAGUUUCCAGGUAAGCAGUAACCCUCACACAACGUUGUCUGGGUGUGCAGCCUGUAACAAUAGUGCACCACACCCAGAAAAACAAUAUGCCAAAAUAUUAGACUCUCCUACUCAGGCGCUAUGUCACGUAGGCCAUGCAUCUUAAGAUGUCAGAGCCCUUGAGAGGGUCAGUCAGACUGAUGUGAUACUUUCCUAUUGCUCUCAACUUUCUCAGGCUGUUUCUUUUUUUUUUCUUUUAAGGUAUUCCAUGGCUUGUCCCCACCUUGAGUGACAGCAUGGUGAAGGGGAUAGAGCAAGGGGCUUUGGCAUCAAGGCCGCAGUGAGGUGAGAUCCCAUCUCUACCUCCUUUAAUGGCUGUGGAAGCUGAUCCUAUUACUUAAUUUUUUGUAGCCUCAGAAUUCCUCCUCCAUGGAGUAGAAUUUUCUAGAAGCUACCUCAAGUUUAUGGAGAAAAGAGAGAUGGUGUAGCUGAAGGGUAAGGGCUGCUGCCUGGUCCGUAGGAGCUGCUCCCUGAGUGUUAGCUGCUGCCCCCCUCUCCCCCCACCCAUGUUGCCCUCUCAUUUCCCCUGAUUCUGAAUCUUGUUUCAUCCUUUCUGAUCCCGGAACCAGCCCUGAGGCCUUCAGCUCUUUCUCUGAUGGAGACUUUCAUUCCUGGACGCUCCCAUCCCCCCACACACUCCAACUACCUGAUAAACAGCCUCUAAUAGUCACGAAAAGUUCGUCUCUCCUCUCUUUGCACACACUUUCCCCUCACCAGUUACUUCUCCCUCUUCAGAAGAAGGCUGACCGGGCCCUUCACUUCGGGCUGUGCCCACUUCCGAGUAUGUGACCCGUUGCUGACACGUCAGCGUUUCUCUCAUCUGGCCCCUCUUGGGACCUAGAUCUUUUUCAUCACACUUCCCAUCAUUUGUUUUGUGUUCCCAUCCUGUGUGUGUGUGUGAGAGGGAGAGCACGUGUCUUUUCUCUCUUCAAUGCCCGUACCCUCUUUUCACCAAGACUCCGCACCCCAUUUGUCGUCAGAGGCCCAGCAGGACAGGUCGGCCCCUACGUGAGCUCUGGCCUGCCCCUCCUUCCAGCUCAGCAUCCUGCUUGGAACUUUCUCCCAAGCAGACGCUGCUAAUUAACUCGGCCUGAACCCCGGUCUCAGGGCUACGUGUUCACAUGAAAGGGCUGUUGAGACCACAAGGACCUCCCUGCUUCCUGCAGAGGGAAGAUCAAUCUCUCCUUUCCCUUCAAUUUAUAGUCAACUUUCUCCAGGAAGUGGCUGUUCCUUAUUUUAUACUAUGUCAGAGGUAGCAGUUCAAUCCUGGAGUUUCUAUUAGAGAAGUUGCAUGGAGGGUUUCAACAAGUGUUCCAAAGCAGGUUCUUUUCCCUUGGUCCUGCUCGGUGAAUUACGUCUGGCUCAUGUACAUCCUGUUAAUUUAAAGCGUGUCUCUGUGAUCUGCAAUGUCUCCUCAUCAAUACCGUUGAGGACCAAGCAGUCUGCAGAGUUUAUUUGUUCUAUCUUAUGCUAAAAACAAAAACAUGGAACUGUUUGUGACCGAGGCCUGCUCUGAUGUUUGGAAACCACACGAUGGGCUGUUGGUCCCCUGCAGCGAGUCCUGGUAGAGCUGUGGGGAUAGCUGAGGGGGUCUGAUAAAACCCAGGGCCUGGCACCCUGCAGCUUUUAAAGAGUGAGCUGAGACACACUGCUGUUAGGAGACGCAGGAGUGCGGCUUGUUUAUCUCCACUUUCUCCAUGGACAUCUCUGGACACAUAGGGUUGCUGUUCUGUUUUGACUGAUUUGGAUUUUUUUCCCCUCACGGUUAAAAGAGCAAACAAGCUUUAAAAAUGACCUAAUCGUUGUCCAGGGUGACUUCAUGGGAAGUCACCAACCUCCCCAGAAUGCAGAGUUGGAGCAGGGCUGGUGCCAGGAAAGGAGAUUUGGAAUUCAGAAACUUUGAAGCCCUGUAAACAGCCAUGGAAGUAUUGCUGAUUUUCAACCUUGAUUCCAUGUUAGAAUUACUUGGGAAGCUUAUAAAAACCCCAAACCAGGCCACACCCCAUAACGACAUCAGAAUCUCUGUGGGCAGGACCUAUGCCUCUGGAUUUUUCUGAAGAUCCCCAGAAUGGAAUAACGCAAUGGAGACGUGCAGGUGAUGACAGGGAUUGGCUGGAGUCAGGAGGAGAGGGAAGACGAUCGUUUCCACAAGUCACUGUGAAGCCAGGUUAGAGUCAUUUGUUCUCCACAGUGAAAGCCUCACUUAUUAAGAAGCUCUUCACAAAACCUGUGGAAAAGUCACAAGCAACAGUCGGCAGUGGCUGUCGCCAGGGGGAAUCGUGUAGCUGGGGGAGAAAAGUCACCCUACGCCCUUCCAGACCAUAUUCACAUAUUUCUUCCCCCAGAGAGCAAACACAGAGUUUAAAACGACCUAUUCUUCUUUUCUGGAAUAUGAUUUUUUUUUGAAAUUGAAGUAUAGUUGAUUUACAAUGUUGUGUUAGUUUCAGGUGCACUGAAAAGUGAUUCAGUUAUACAUAUAAGAACAGUCUAUCCUUGACUGAUAACUGCUUUCUAUUAGCCCUUCUCUGGGACAGGUGCUGUCUUGGGUGUGUCUACGUAGGUUUUCUCGUUUUCUGGAUUCACGUUUGCCUUGUCAUAAAAAUUGUUCUAAAUACACAGAUACGUCUUGAUCUUUCGAAGCUUGCUGAUAAUUCUGCCCACAGGUAGUCGUAGGAACCCAAGGACAAACAGCGAGACAAUUCGCUGGACUUGGGGCCACAAGGCAGGUGUAUUGAAGGGAAUGGGUCAUGGGCGGAACAUACUUAGACAUACUUAGUGGGGUGAGAGGAAAAGAACCUUUCUGAUGCUAGAGAUUCCAGGGGAGGAAGGGAGGUUUCCGAGGUCGUCUCUGUGGCAGGAGGACAUUUGUGGAGUGUAGGGGGAGGACACAGGUGCAGCCUGAGAGGGAAAGCAACCAGAGUAAUCCCACACCCGAUGAGGGGUGCAUUUAUAUUGGGGUCCCAUGCCUGACAACCCAAGGAAGUGGCCCUUUGCCCGUUCAUCAUAAAGUGAACCCUGUGGGGAGUGGAAGAUGAGUUUAGAACAGUGUCAGCCCAGCAGGCCUCAGGAGACGUUGCUGACUGACUGCAUUGAUCUAACUCCAGGAGAGGGGAGCUCCCGCAUUUUGGGGGGCCCUAUGCCCCGCAAGUCUGUGAAGAGGGUGUAUUUAUACCUAUUGUCCUAAAUGAACUAGAGGCAAAGGAGCCGAGUGAUGACCCUGAAAAGUGGGCUGGCAUUUGCAGCUACAUGGAUGGACCUAGAGAUUAUCAUACUAAGCGAAGUAACUGUCACCCGUGCCAGGAAGGAAGACAGGAAGCAUGACUGUGACCAUUUCCACGGCUCCCUCAAGCAUCCCCGACCACACACCUGGUCAUCUUUGGACUGUGCCGGGUCUUAGCUGCUGCACGUGGGAUCCUCGCCGCGCUGUGUGGGAUCUUUAGUUGCGACAUGUGGACCUCUCAGUCAUGGCAUGUGGACUCCCAGUUGCACACGCAUGCGGGAUCUUAGUUCCCCGACCAGGGAUCGAACCCAGCCUCCCUGCAUUGGGAGCACAGAGUCUUACCCACUGGACCACCAGGGAAGUCCCUGGAAAUG